AGAGUUUGAUCCGUGGCUCGAGGACGAACGCUGGCGGCGUGCUUAACACAUGCAAGUCGAACGGAACCUUCGGGUUUAGUGGCGAACGGGUGAGUAAAGCGCAGGUAAUCUGCCGCAAAGUCGGGGACAACGUUGCGAAAGUGACGCUAAUACCGGAUGUUGUACGAACUUCGCAUGGAGCUUGUACUAAAGAUUUAUCGCUUUGCGAGGAGCCUGCGUCCGAUUAGCUAGUUGGUAGUGUAAGAGACUACCAAGGCGACGAUCGGUAGCCGGUCUGAGAGGAUGAACGGCCACCAAUGGAACUGAGACACGGCCCAUACUCC
rnacentral:rRNA from 1 species